CCACGCUGCCGAGUUUUGAAAGCAUUUCAGCCUCAUUGGUAAGACAGUUGUACGCGUCCGUUGUUCUCAUCUCUCUGCGCUAUCUGAGUAGUUUGUAACACUAGUACCGAAACAGUUCAGACUUUCCUCGUUUGUUCCAUCAGUGACCUAUUGCGGUUUUUUGAUCGAGUGUCCAUUUGGCUUAUUUUCUCCUCAGCGAGUCUUCAAUUCCAUCAGACCACCUACAAAUGAAUUACCUCUCAUCAAAGGUUUCAACCACUCUGUUGUGGGUGUGCAUGGCCUUAGUUCUCUUCCUGAGCGGCUCUUUCGGCAGUCCGGCCAAUAGGUCUUCGGAUCUGCUAUCUCACCACUUAGCCAAGAGAUCCUUCUUCGACAUUCAAUGCAAAGGAGUUUAUGACAAGAGCAUAUUCGCAAGAUUAGAUCGCAUAUGCGAAGACUGCUACAAUCUCUUCAGAGAGCCCCAAGUACAUUCCCUAUGCAGGAGAAACUGUUUCACGACAGAUUACUUCAAGGGUUGCCUUGACACACUUCAACUAUCAGAUGAAUUGCAACAAAUUCAGACAUGGAUAAAACAAUUACACGGGGCAGAUCCAGGGGUUUAGGUACACAAAAUACACCAUUACUCCACUAACAAACACUAACCCACUAUGCAUAGGAAUCGCUGCUUCUCUACUCGAAUCUUCAAAGGGUGUGUCGACUCAUUGCUGCUUUCAGAAGAGCUGCCCAAAUUUUCAAAAAUGAUUGAAUAUUUGGGAAAAUGAAUGGUUCGAUGCUCCGAGGUCCUAUAUAAUUCUAGUCCAUAUUUAAUUGUCUUUAGGCAAUUGAUGUAUUAUAAGUAAACAUUUUGACAGAAUCUUUUAUCGAGCUACUUCCUUGGUUCUCCGAGACACUGUAAAGAGGAACCUUCCCCACAGAAUCCGACAUUUCCGUUCUGGUGUCUUUUGAUAAUACAAAACUUAAUACAAGAAAAUCCAACAAGUUUCCACCAAAAAAAAAAUAUGGAAGGAUUUUGUGAAUUUUCACGGUUGGAAAGUUUGGUGGAAAUUGAAACAUCACACAAUUCAGAGUAUUAUUUAUGGAAAUUUUUCGUCAUCGAAACGAACAUUCAUAUUUAUUUUCAUUACUUAUUUAAUGAUGAAUUGCUUCAUCGGCUGGCUAAAGUAUUUCAUCAUUGAUCACUUUUUUCUAUUUAAUUCAUGAAUCAUUUUAAUUAAGCUGAUUUAUAUGUAUAAAAUUUAUUUAUUGAUAUUGUUAGAUAAUUUAUCAGUAAGGAAAAUUCAUUUGAAAAAUUAUAUUCCCUAUUUCUUGUGUUGAUUAUCGAAAUUUCAUUUCUUACAGUCAAAAUUAAAAAGUGAUGUUACUUCGAACGAAAUUUUAUAAAUUUUGGAUGAUCAGAUUUGAAUAUUAAUGUAAUGAUUUUCAAAAUUAUAAGCCGAAGAAUGGAAUAUAGUUUUUUAGAAGCAAAUGUCUCUUUUCACAUUCCGAUAUCAGUAUUGCAGAAGUUGUCAAUAAAAUUUCAAACAGGUGCCAAUAACUUUGAAGGAUUCAAUAUUCUAAUCAAUCAAAUAAAUGUCUAUAUGUGCAAUUCACUAUCUGUAGCAAAGAAUAUAAUAUAUUUAUCAAAUUGUUGAAUAAAAUAUACAGCUGGCGUUGUAUUUAAGAAGUAUUUUUUUAUUGUUAUGGCAGCUUCAAAGAUAGUAAGAUAUAAAUAUAAUUAUUUUGAAAUCUGAA